GAUGAACGCUGGCUACAGGCUUAACACAUGCAAGUCGAGGGGAAACGCCGGGGAAGCUUGCUUCCCCGGGCGUCGACCGGCGCACGGGUGAGUAACGCGUAUCCAACCUGCCUCUGACUGAGGGAUAACCCGUCGAAAGUCGGCCUAAUACCUCAUGGUAUCGUCUGCGGGCAUCCAACGACGAUUAAAGAUUUCAUCGGUCAGGGAUGGGGAUGCGUCUGAUUAGCUUGUUGGCGGGGUAACGGCCCACCAAGGCUACGAUCAGUAGGGGUUCUGAGAGGAAGGUCCCCCACAUUGGAACUGAGACACGGUCCAAACUCCUACGGGAGGCAGCAGUGAGGAAUAUUAGUCAAUGGGCGAGAGCCUGAACCAGCCAAGUAGCGUGCAGGAAGACGGCCCUAUGGGUUGUAAACUGCUUUUAUGCGGGGAUAAAGUGAGGGACGUGUCCCUCAUUGCAGGUACCGCAUGAAUAAGGACCGGCUAAUUCCGUG
rnacentral:rRNA from 1 species